AAAAACAUGUCUGCUUGAAAUUCAAAACAGUCUGACCUGCCCACUGAAACAUUAAAGGGCCGCGGUAAUUUGACCGUGCGAAGGUAGCAUAAUCAUUAGUCUUUUAAUUGAGGACCUGUAUGAACGGUCGGACAAAAAAUUAACUGUCUUAAUAGUUUAUACUGAAAUUACCUUUUAAGUGAAGAGGCUUAAAUAAUUCUUAAAGACGAUAAGACCCUAUAAAACUUUACAUAUACUUAAUUAAUAUUUAAUUAUAUGUUUAUGAUUUUUUUUAGAAUUAUGUUUCAUUGGGGAGAUGGAAGUAUAAAAAAUAACUACUUAGUCUUUAACACAAAAAUCUUUGAAUUUAGUUGAUCCUUAAUAAAGAUAAAAGAAAAGUUACUUUAGGGAUAACAGCGUUAUUUUUUUUGAGAGUCCUUAUCGACAAAAAAGUUUGCGACCUCGAUGUUGAAUUAAAAUUUCUCCAUGAUGUAGCAGUCAUAGAAGUAAGUCUGUUCGACUUUUAAAAUUUUACAUGAUUUGAGUUCAAACCGGUGUGAGCCAGGUUGGUUUCUAU
rnacentral:rRNA from 1 species